UCCUAGCCUCGGCCAGGGGCCAGCGGGGCCUGGAGCCGGAGGAUGAGGGAGCAGGGGUGCAGGCAGCGCGCGCGGGGGCGUCCAACAUUUCUGGGGAUCAGCGACGGAGCGAAGAAGCCCGGAAACCCCUUCGCUGAGAACGGAAUUGUGGCCCGCGGCCUUGGGGCACAGCCCUUCUACCCUGCCAUCCCACCAAGGACACUCUAGACUAGGUCUUGGGAAAACUGAGGGGACAUAUUGGUAGAAACAAGCAUCAAUCCCCCAGAUGGGAGUUUGCAAAACUCGCCAAGCGCCUCCCCCGGGUGCGGUUCCUCUCGGGCCACGAGGUCGCGACCCUGACGCAGCUGCUGCCUCACUUCGGGCUACCCCAACUCUCGAUCGCACAUCGGCCCCUAGUACUCUCGAGUAACCUGCUAGUCCCGAACCUCGUCACCCGGAUUCCCCGAGCAGCUGCUCCCACCCAAGGGUGGGAAUGCGCGACCCCGUGUAGAGCGCGCAGGUCUCUGGGGUCAGCAGGGCAUGGGGAGAGAAUCCAGUGUGGCACCUCGCUCGCAUUCGCUGCCUUCUUUCUGCCCGCUCAAAAAUAAAAAUUAUCCCCCAUUCUC